rnacentral:lncRNA from 1 species
GUUUAUAGCUGCUCCAUUGUCGACAAGCACUUUUGCCACUGGGAUGCCGUUAACUAGAGCUUUAACGUACAAUGGUCUCAAGUGUUUAGUCAAUUUCAUGGCUGGCCGUUUAAAAAUAACCUUUUCGGCAGCCUCUAUUUCUACUUCUUGCUUGUUUUUUGUCGAAUUAUCCCCCUGUGAUAAGUCAACGUGCUGUAUAUCGCGCUGAUCCUCUGUCUCCUGAACUUCCUUCUUACUUUUUUUCUAAUGCGUCCUCAUCAGUUACCCAACCUGUGGGAGGGGGCAUUAUCCUUGGAGGUGACCCAUACUUUUCAGAGCGAGGCACUCUCUUCUUCCUUUUGGGUGUCCUGUACAGUACGUAGAAAUCGAAAGGACGCCCAGAUGGUUCUCCCAACAAGUCUACUUCGCGAACUCCUUCUUAAUGUAGUUGCUUCAACAGAGUAUUGCGCGAUACUCCUCUCUUUCUUCCUUCUGCUUCUAGGUCGAUUUCUUCUUCAAUGUCUAUCAUCCCGUCGUCCUCUUCAUCGUUGUAGACCUCUCUAGAAGUCUAGCCUUCUUCACAUUCCAGCACGCAAGCUUCUCCUUCGUUGUCCUCCCUCUCUCAUUUUUUUCUUUAUUUUUGAAUUCAUUGGCCAGUAAGUAAUUAUUGGCCACGACAGGAAGCAACGUACCAAAUUGGAUAGUAAGGGGCUGAUCUGGAUCUUCUCCAUCCCUUCUGUCUCGCUCAAACUUUGAUCUCCCAGAAGAAGUUUCUGACAGUUCCUUCAUUGAUUCAUCUGUACCGGUCUCUUCACUAUCUUUGAGGACAUUUUGAUUGGCUACUUUGAGUAGUUUAGGCGCUUUAGGAUGUGGCACUCCCUGUUGCUGCCUCAUCAUCCGUCUAUAGUUUCGUUGGAAACGCCUUUGUUGGGUUCUAGUCAUCUCAUCGAAGGGUAUUGCCCUUCCUGCAUUAUACUGGAAUGAAUGUCAUACAUUUGGCCAGCGAGGUUGCGGCCUGAAUGUUCUUCCAUUAUCUGUUGG